UUGGGUUCUGGGGUUCUGGUGGGUUCUGGUGGGGUUUGGUUUGGUUCUCCAAGGGUUUUGUUGAGUUCUGGUGGGAUUCCAUUGGGUUCUUGUUGGGUUUUGGUGGGUUCUCCAAGGGUUCCAUUGGGUUCUGGUGGGGUUUGGUUGGGUUCUCCAAGGGUUUCGUUGAGUUCUGGUUGGGUUCCAUUGGGUUCUGGGGUUCUGGUGGGUUCUGGUGGGGUUUGGUUUGGUUCUCCAAGGGUUCUGGUGGGUUCUGGUGGGGUUCCAUUGAGUUCUGGUGGGGUUCUGGUGGGUUCUGGUGGGGUUUGGUUUGGUUCUCCAAGGGUUCUGGUGGGUUCUGGUUGGGUUUCGUUGGGUUCUCCAAGGGUUUCGUUGAGUUCUGGUGGGAUUCCAUUGGGCUCUUGUUGGGUCUCGUUGGGUUCUGGUGGGGUUCUGGUGGGUUCUCCAAGGGUUCUGGUGGGUUCAGGUGGGAUUCCAUUGAGUUCUGGUGGGGUUUGGUUUGGUUCUCCAAGGGUUCUGGUGGGUUCAGGUGAGGUUCCAUUGGGUUCUGGGGUUCUGGUGGGUUCUGGUUGGGUUCCAUUGAGUUCUGGUGGGGUUCUGGUGGGGUCUGGUUGGGUUCUGGUGGGUUCUCCAAGGGUUCCAUUGGGUUCUCCAAGGGUUCCGUUGGGUUCUCCAAGGGUUCCAUUGGGUUCUGGUUGGGUUCUGGUGGGUUCUGGUGGGGUUCUGGUGGGUUCUGGUGGGGUUCUGGUGGGUUCUCCAAGGGUUCCGUUGAGUUCCGGUUGGGUCCCGUUGACUUUUCCCACAAUUCCAUUGGGUUUUCCAA
rnacentral:lncRNA from 1 species